GCCCCACUCCUUUUUCUGCAGAAUCACAAUGGUGGCUGGGAUCCUGUACACAUACCCUGAAAACUGGAGGGCCUUCAAGGCCCUCAUUGCAUGCAGUACAGUGGAGCUCGGGUCCAGGUACCCUCUGCACCACCCUACUUCCACUUUGGCCAAACCAACAGCGCCCCUGAAUUUCUCCCUAAGUUUCUUGCUGGCAAGUUUCCAGCAUUUGAAGGUAAUUAUGGAUUCUGUGUGUUCAAGAGCAAUGUCAUUGCCUACUAUGUGAGCAAUGAGGACCUGUGGGUAAGUAGUCCAGAAGCAGCAGUCCAGGUAGGUGAGCUUUGCUGAUAGUGACAUAAUGCUCCCAGCCAGUAUCUGGGUGUUCCCCACCUUGAGCAACAUGCAUUAUAAUAAGCAGGUCACAGAGACUACAAAGUAGAACAUGAGGUGAAUACUAGGGCUUCUGGAUGCUCACUUGAAGACAAGGACCUUUCUGGUGGGUGAACGUGUGACACCGGCUGACAUCACAGUUGUCUGCACCCUGCUAUGGCUCUAUAAGCAGAUCCUGGAGCCAUCUUUCCACCAGGCCUUCCCCAACAACAACCACUGUUUCUUCACCUGCAUUAACCAGCCCCAGUUCUGCGCAGUCUUGGGGGAGGUAAAGCUCUGUGAGAAGGUGGCCCAGUUUGAUGCUAAAAAAGUUUGAGAGAGCUAGCCUAAAAAGGGCAAACCCUGGAAGGAGAAAUAACCUUGAGAGGAGAAGCCAAAACCCUAGCCCAAGCAGAAAGAGGAGGGAAAAAGGCUGCUGCAUCCACUUCCGAGGAGAAGAUGGAUGAGUAUGAGCAAGUGCUGGUGGCAGAGCCGAUGGCCAAGGACCCCUUUCCUCACCUGCCCAGGAGUACCUUUGUAUUGGGUAAAUUCAAACACAAGUACUGCAAUGAGGACCUGCUGUCAGUGGCGCUGCCAUAUUUUUGGGAGUACUUUGAUAAGGACAGCAGGUCCCUAAGGUAUUCUGAGUGCUGCUUCCCUGAAGAGCUCACCCAGACCUUCAUGAUCUGCAACCUCAUCACUGGAAUGUUCCAACAGUUGGACAAGCUGAGGAAGAACUCCUUUGCCAGUACCAUCCUCUUUGAAACCAACAGCAGCUCCAUUUCUGGAGUCUGGGUCUUCUGAAGCCAGGAGCUUGUCUUUCCACUGACUCCAGACUGGCAGGUGGACUACAAGUCAUACACAUGGUGGAAGCUGUAUCCUAGCAGUGUGAAGACCCAGAUACUAGUGUGAGAAUACUUUUGCUGAGAGUAGGCCUUCCAGCAAAUGGGCAAAGCCUUCAAUCAGGGCAAGAUAUUAAAGUGAACAUCUCUUGCCAUCAUCCAGCUGCCUGCACCCAUCCUCCAGGGAGCUGGGAGUCAUUAAAGAAAACUGAAUAU